GACGAACGCUGGCGGCGUGCUUAACACAUGCAAGUCGAACGCUGAACCCGCUUCGGUGGGGGAUGAGUGGCGAACGGGUGAGUAACACGUGGGCAACCUGCCCCCGGCUCUGGGAUAACUCCAAGAAAUUGGGGCUAAUACCGGAUGUGACCGCUGGCCGCAUGGUCUGGUGGUGGAAAGGGUUUCCGGCUGGGGAUGGGCCCGCGGCCUAUCAGCUUGUUGGUGGGGUAGUGGCCUACCAAGGCGACGACGGGUAGCCGGCCUGAGAGGGUGACCGGCCACACUGGGACUGAGACACGGCCCAGACUCCUACGGGAGGCAGCAGUGGGGAAUAUUGCGCAAUGGGCGGAAGCCUGACGCAGCGACGCCGCGUGGGGGAUGACGGCCUUCGGGUUGUAAACCUCUUUCAGCAGGGACGAGGCGCAAGUGACGGUACCUGCAGAAGAAGCACCGGCCAACUACGUG
rnacentral:rRNA from 1 species